rnacentral:pre_miRNA from 1 species
CGGGGGAGGCCGGAUCCUGGGCUGUGUCCCGGCGCCCUGUGCUCCUGGGCCUGCGCUGUUGGAUUUGCGCUCCCGCCCCGCAGCCCCCU